CACCAAAAAAGUUCACAAGUGAAUCUAUAUAAAAUGGUGAAUAGAACAAUGCGGUUGAAAAAGAAAAUUAUUACUUACCGUGCCAGCAGUUUAAGGUAAUCAAUAUACUUCGUUCUGCUUUCCUCAGCUUUUCUCGAUUGUCUCUGCCAAAUGCUGCUCAAGGCAUACAUUAUAUAUUAUUAAAAAAGAAAAACAAGAAAAUAGCAGACAAUUUUACAUGUAUAGAAAAGAAGCCAAGUGUUCAAAGAAUUAACCAAAAGAUUAAAAUUAAUGUCCAUUAAAGUAUUCUGAAUGGAAAGCUGUGAAGGGG
rnacentral:lncRNA from 1 species